rnacentral:tRNA from 1 species
GCGCUCGUAGUCUAGUGGUAUGAUAGGUCCCUGCCACGGACCAGGCCCGGGUUCGAUCCCCGGCGAGCGCA